GUGAAUCAUCGAAUCUUUGAACGCAUAUUGCACUCUCUGGUAUUCCGGAGGGGAUGCCUAUUUUGAGGGCAUUUGAAAUAAUAUAAAUUUCGAGAGUUGCUUUGAGUCAAAAAUGGGACGGGCCAGCAUUCGUUUGGUGGUGGCCUAAAAUGCAAGACAAUCUCAUUUCUGGGGUUGCGUGAUACUUUCAGUUACCUCGUGACUGCACAAGGAAUCGUUGAGCGUGUUAGGAAUUGUGGACGUGAUAAACUGCAUUUAUCUCUAGCUCAAUAUUAA
rnacentral:misc_RNA from 1 species